rnacentral:rRNA from 1 species
GGUUAAGCGACUAAGCGUACACGGUGGAUGCCCUGGCAGUCAGAGGCGAUGAAGGACGUGCUAAUCUGCGAUAAGCGCCGGUAAGGUGAUAUGAACCGUUAUAACCGGCGAUUUCCGAAUGGGGAAACCCAGUGUGAUUCGUCACACUAUCAUUAACUGAAUCCAUAGGUUAAUGAGGCGAACCGGGGGAACUGAAACAUCUAAGUACCCCGAGGAAAAGAAAUCAACCGAGAUUCCCCCAGUAGCGGCGAGCGAACGGGGAGGAGCCCAGAGCCUGAAUCAGCAUGUGUGUUAGUGGAAGCGUCUGGAAAGGCGCGCGAUACAGGGUGACAGCCCCGUACACAAAAGCGCAUGUGCUGUGAGCUCGAUGAGUAGGGCGGGACACGUGGUAUCCUGUCUGAAUAUGGGGGGACCAUCCUCCAAGGCUAAAUACUCCUGACUGACCGAUAGUGAACCAGUACCGUGAGGGAAAGGCGAAAAGAACCCCGGCGAGGGGAGUGAAAAAGAACCUGAAACCGUGUACGUACAAGCAGUGGGAGCACAGGUUUACCUGUGUGACUGCGUACCUUUUGUAUAAUGGGUCAGCGACUUAUAUUCUGUAGCAAGGUUAACCGUAUAGGGGAGCCGUAGGGAAACCGAGUCUUAACCGGGCGUUAAGUUGCAGGGUAUAGACCCGAAACCCGGUGAUCUAGCCAUGGGCAGGUUGAAGGUUGGGUAACACUAACUGGAGGACCGAACCGACUAAUGUUGAAAAAUUAGCGGAUGACCUGUGGCUGGGGGUGAAAGGCCAAUCAAACCGGGAGAUAGCUGGUUCUCCCCGAAAGCUAUUUAGGUAGCGCCUCGUGAAUUCAUCUCCGGGGGUAGAGCACUGUUUCGGCUAGGGGGCCAUCCCGGCUUACCAACCCGAUGCAAACUGCGAAUACCGGAGAAUGUUAUCACGGGAGACACACGGCGGGUGCUAACGUCCGUCGUGAAGAGGGAAACAACCCAGACCGCCAGCUAAGGUCCCAAAGUCAUGGUUAAGUGGGAAACGAUGUGGGAAGGCCCAGACAGCCAGGAUGUUGGCUUAGAAGCAGCCAUCAUUUAAAGAAAGCGUAAUAGCUCACUGGUCGAGUCGGCCUGCGCGGAAGAUGUAACGGGGCUAAACCAUGCACCGAAGCUGCGGCAGCGACGCUUAUGCGUUGUUGGGUAGGGGAGCGUUCUGUAAGCCUGCGAAGGUGGCCUGUGAGGGUUGCUGGAGGUAUCAGAAGUGCGAAUGCUGACAUAAGUAACGAUAAAGCGGGUGAAAAGCCCGCUCGCCGGAAGACCAAGGGUUCCUGUCCAACGUUAAUCGGGGCAGGGUGAGUCGACCCCUAAGGCGAGGCCGAAAGGCGUAGUCGAUGGGAAACGGGUUAAUAUUCCCGUACUUGGUGUUACUGCGAAGGGGGGACGGAGAAGGCUAUGUUGGCCGGGCGACGGUUGUCCCGGUUUAAGCGUGUAGGUGUGUGUUCCAGGUAAAUCCGGUUCACUUUAACACUGAGGCGUGACGACGAGGCACUACGGUGCUGAAGCAACAAAUGCCCUGCUUCCAGGAAAAGCCUCUAAGCAUCAGGUAACAUCAAAUCGUACCCCAAACCGACACAGGUGGUCAGGUAGAGAAUACCAAGGCGCUUGAGAGAACUCGGGUGAAGGAACUAGGCAAAAUGGUGCCGUAACUUCGGGAGAAGGCACGCUGACACGUAGGUGAAGUGAUUUACUCAUGGAGCUGAAGUCAGUCGAAGAUACCAGCUGGCUGCAACUGUUUAUUAAAAACACAGCACUGUGCAAACACGAAAGUGGACGUAUACGGUGUGACGCCUGCCCGGUGCCGGAAGGUUAAUUGAUGGGGUCAGCGCAAGCGAAGCUCCUGAUCGAAGCCCCGGUAAACGGCGGCCGUAACUAUAACGGUCCUAAGGUAGCGAAAUUCCUUGUCGGGUAAGUUCCGACCUGCACGAAUGGCGUAAUGAUGGCCAGGCUGUCUCCACCCGAGACUCAGUGAAAUUGAACUCGCUGUGAAGAUGCAGUGUACCCGCGGCAAGACGGAAAGACCCCGUGAACCUUUACUAUAGCUUGACACUGAACAUUGAGCCUUGAUGUGUAGGAUAGGUGGGAGGCUUUGAAGCGUGGACGCCAGUCUGCGUGGAGCCGACCUUGAAAUACCACCCUUUAAUGUUUGAUGUUCUAACGUGGACCCGUAAUCCGGGUUGCGGACAGUGUCUGGUGGGUAGUUUGACUGGGGCGGUCUCCUCCUAAAGAGUAACGGAGGAGCACGAAGGUUGGCUAAUCCUGGUCGGACAUCAGGAGGUUAGUGCAAUGGCAUAAGCCAGCUUGACUGCGAGCGUGACGGCGCGAGCAGGUGCGAAAGCAGGUCAUAGUGAUCCGGUGGUUCUGAAUGGAAGGGCCAUCGCUCAACGGAUAAAAGGUACUCCGGGGAUAACAGGCUGAUACCGCCCAAGAGUUCAUAUCGACGGCGGUGUUUGGCACCUCGAUGUCGGCUCAUCACAUCCUGGGGCUGAAGUAGGUCCCAAGGGUAUGGCUGUUCGCCAUUUAAAGUGGUACGCGAGCUGGGUUUAGAACGUCGUGAGACAGUUCGGUCCCUAUCUGCCGUGGGCGCUGGAGAACUGAGGGGGGCUGCUCCUAGUACGAGAGGACCGGAGUGGACGCAUCACUGGUGUUCGGGUUGUCAUGCCAAUGGCACUGCCCGGUAGCUAAAUGCGGAAGAGAUAAGUGCUGAAAGCAUCUAAGCACGAAACUUGCCCCGAGAUGAGUUCUCCCUGAGACUUAGAGUCUCCUGAAGGAACGUUGAAGACGACGACGUUGAUAGGCCGAGUGUGUAAGCGCAGCGAUGCGUUGAGCUAACCGGUACUAAUGAACCGUGAGGCUUAACCUU